UACGGAGGGUGCAAGCGUUGUCCGGAUUUAUUGGGUUUAAAGGGUGCGUAGGCGGCCCGGUAAGUCAGUGGUGAAAGCCUCCAGCUCAACUGGAGAACUGCCAUUGAUACUGCCGGGCUUGAGUACAGACGAGGUUGGCGGAAUUGAUUGUGUAGCGGUGAAAUGCAUAGAUACAAUCAAGAACUCCGAUUGCGUAGGCAGCUAACUAGGCUGUAACUGACGCUGAGGCACGAAAGCGUGGGGAUCAAACAGG
rnacentral:rRNA from 1 species